CUAAUACAGACGUUUCCGAAUUCACUGUUGAGUUGGCAUAGAGUAGUACUGUAUGGAAUAUGAUAAUUAUUGUACUUCCUAUGACAGCUUACUAAUGAAUUCAAAUUCAAGAAAAUGAUUU
rnacentral:precursor_RNA from 15 species